rnacentral:rRNA from 1 species
UAGNGGCGAACGGGUGAGUAACACGUGCUCAAUCUGCCCUUCACUCUGNCACAAGCCCUGGUAAACGGGGUCUAAUACCGGAUAUCACUCCUGCAGGCAUCUGCGGGAGUUGAAAGCUCCGGCGGUGAAGGAUGAGCCCGCGGCCUAUCAGCUUGUUGGUGAGGUAAUGGCUCACCAAGGCGACGACGGGUAGCCGGCCUGAGAGGGCGACCGGCCACACUGGGACUGAGACACGGCCCAGACUCCUACGGGAGGCAGCAGUGGGGAAUAUUGCACAAUGGGCGAAAGCCUGAUGCAGCGACGCCGCGUGAGGGAUGACGGCCUUCGGGUUGUAAACCUCUUUCAGCAGGGAAGAAGCGAAAGUGACGGUACCUGCAGAAGAAGCGCCGGCUAACUACGUGCCAGCAGCCGCGGUAAUACGUAGGGCGCAAGCGUUGUCCGGAAUUAUUGGGCGUAAAGAGCUCGUAGGCGGCUUGUCACGUCGGGUGUGAAAGCCCGGGGCUUAACCCCGGGUCUGCAUUCGAUACGGGCUAGCUAGAGUGUGGUAGGGGAGAUCGGAAUUCCU